rnacentral:rRNA from 1 species
AUUGAACGCUGGCGGCAUGCUUUACACAUGCAAGUCGAGCGGCAGCGCGGGGGCAACCCUGGCGGCGAGCGGCGGACGGGUGAGUAAUGCAUCGGAACGUAUCCCGUAGUGGGGGACAACCCAGCGAAAGCUGGGCUAAUACCGCAUAUGCUCUACGGAGGAAAGUGGGGGACCCGCAAAGGGCCUCACGCUAUGGGAGCGGCCGAUGUCCGAUUAGCUAGUUGGUGGGGUAAAGGCCCACCAAGGCGACGAUCGGUAGCUGGUCUGAGAGGAUGAUCAGCCACACUGGGACUGAGACACGGCCCAGACUCCUACGGGAGGCAGCAGUGGGGAAUUUUGGACAAAUGGGGGCAACCCUGAUCCAGCCAUGCCGCGUGCGGGAAGAAGGCCUCGGUUGUAA